GAUGAACGCUGGCGGCGUGCCUAAUACAUGCAAGUCGAGCGAACAGGCGAGGAGCUUGCUCCUCUGACGUUAGCGGCGGACGGGUGAGUAACACGUGGAUAACCUACCUAUAAGACUGGGAUAACUUCGGGAAACCGGAGCUAAUACCGGAUAAUAUAUUGAACCGCAUGGUUCAAUAGUGAAAGACGGUUUUGCUGUCACUUAUAGAUGGAUCCGCGCCGCAUUAGCUAGUUGGUAAGGUAACGGCUUACCAAGGCAACGAUGCGUAGCCGACCUGAGAGGGGGAUCGGCCACACUGGAGCUGAGACACGGUCCAGACUCCUGCGGGAGGCAGCAGUAGGGAAUCUUCCGCAAUGGGCGAAAGCCUGACGGAGCAACGCCGCGUGAGUGAUGAAGGUCCUCGGAUCGUAAAACUCUGUUAUUAGGGAAGAACAAAUGUGUAAGUAACUAUGCACGUCUUGACGGUACCUAAUCAGAAAGCCACGGCUAACUACGUG
rnacentral:rRNA from 1 species